UAAGGAAUAUUGGUCAAUGGGGGCAACCCUGAACCAGCCAUGCCGCGUGCAGGAUGAAGGCGCUAUGCGUCGUAAACUGCUUUUAUACGGGAAGAAUAUUUUCGAUUCGUUCGAGAACUGACGGUACUGUAAGAAUAAGGAUCGGCUAACUCUGUGCCAGCAGCCGCGGUAAUACAGGGGAUCCAAGCGUUAUCCGGAUUUAUUGGGUUUAAAGGGUGCGUAGGCGUCCUGGUAAGUUACAGUUGAAAGCUCCUCGCUCAACGAGGAAACCGGCUGUAAAACUGUCAGGAUUGAGUAUAGUUGAGGUGGGCGGAAUGUGUCAUGUAGCGGUGAAAUGCAUAGAUAUGACACAGAACACCGAUUGCGAAGGCAGCUCGCUAAACUAUAACUGACGCUGAGGCACGAAAGCGUGGGGAUCAAACAGGAUUAGAUACCCGCGUAGUCC
rnacentral:rRNA from 1 species